ACAAGAAUCCGUCAUUUUACCAACGGCAAUUUACCGACCGCAUUAAUAUCUGUAGGUAUUGUAAAAAUUACCGACCGCUUAAAUGACGAUCAGUAUUUACCUACCGCUCAUAGAAAAUACCGACCGUCUAGCGGUAGGUAAUUGUUUCAAAACAAACCGACUAACUUUGUCACUCCAAGAAGCCCAACCCAUAUAAAAGCAAAACCCUAUUUACUUUCUUUUCACCCGCCUCUUUACUGCUCUUCUUAUUCUUUGUUUAUCUCAUUUCUCCAUCUUUUUUUUUUUGAGGGAUCUCAUUUCUACAUCUUACUGUUCUCUUCAUCACUCCACCGUUUUUGUGUUUUAUGUGGGAGGAGUUAUUCACAUUAUCAAUUUAUUGUUCUUCGUUUGGGUGAUUUGAGCAGCAGCGCGAUUAUAGAAGAUAAAAGAAGCAUCGAAAUUAUAGAA